GGACGUAUAGCUCAGUUGGUUAGAGUACAUCCUUGACAUGGAUGGGGUCACUGGUUCGAAUCCAGUUACGUCCA
rnacentral:tRNA from 6 species